rnacentral:rRNA from 1 species
CCUACGGGAGGCAGCAGUGAGGAAUAUUGGUCAAUGGACGCAAGCCUGAACCAGCCAAGUAGCGUGCAGGAUGACGGCCCUAUGGGUUGUAAACUUCUUUUAUAUGGGAAUAAAAUGUGUCACGUGUGGGACUUUGUAUGUACCAUAUGAAUAAGGAUCGGCUAAUUCCGUGCCAGCAGCCGCGGUAAUACGGAGGAUCCGAGCGUUAUCCGGAUUUAGUGGGUUUAAAGGGUGCGUAGGCGGUAGGUUAAGUGAGAGGUGAAAUGCCGAGGCUCAACUUCGGGAUUGCCUAGGGAACUGGUCUGCUAGAGAGCAGGUGCGGUAGGCGGAAUGUAUGGUGUAGCGGUGAAAUGCGUAGAGAUCAUGCAGAACACCGAUUGCGAAGGCAGCUUACUGAA